AGCGAACGCUGGCGGCAGGCUUAACACAUGCAAGUCGAGCGGGCAUAGCAAUAUGUCAGCGGCAGACGGGUGAGUAACGCGUGGGAACGUACCUUUUGGUUCGGAACAACUGAGGGAAACUUCAGCUAAUACCGGAUAAGCCCUUACGGGGAAAGAUUUAUCGCCGAAAGAUCGGCCCGCGUCUGAUUAGCUAGUUGGUGAGGUAAUGGCUCACCAAGGCGACGAUCAGUAGCUGGUCUGAGAGGAUGAUCAGCCACAUUGGGACUGAGACACGGCCCAAACUCCUACGGGAGGCAGCAGUGGGGAAUAUUGGACAAUGGCGCAAGCCUGAUCCAGCCAUGCCGCGUGAGUGAUGAAGGCCCUAGGGUUGUAAAGCUCUUUUGUGCGGGAAGAUAAUGACGGUACCGCAAGAAUAAGCCCCGGCUAACUUCGUGCCAGCCGCCGCGGUAA
rnacentral:rRNA from 1 species